AUUGAACGCUGGCGGCAGGCCUUACACAUGCAAGUCGAGCGGUAGAGAGGUGCUUGCAUCUCUUGAGAGCGGCGGACGGGUGAGUAAUGCCUAGGAAUCUGCCUAGUGGUGGGGGAUAACGUUCGGAAACGGACGCUAAUACCGCAUACGUCCUACGGGAGAAAGCGGGGGAUCUUCGGGCCUUGCGCUAUCAGAUGAGCCUAGGUCGGAUUAGCUAGUAGGUGAGGUAAUGGCUCACCUAGGCGACGAUCCGUAACUGGUCUGAGAGGAUGAUCAGUCACACUGGAACUGAGACACGGUCCAGACUCCUACGGGAGGCAGCAGUGGGGAAUAUUGGACAAUGGGCGAAAGCCUGAUCCAGCCAUGCCGCGUGUGUGAAGAAGGUCUUCGGAUUGUAAAGCACUUUAAGUUGGGUAGGAAGGGCGAGUAAGUUAAUACCUUGCUGUUUGACGUUACCAACAGAAUAAGCACCGGCUAACUU
rnacentral:rRNA from 1 species